CCUACGGGUGGCAGCAGUAGGGAAUCUUCCACAAUGGGCGCAAGCCUGAUGGAGCAACACCGCGUGAGUGAAGAAGGGUUUCGGCUCGUAAAGCUCUGUUGGUAAAGAAGAACACGUAUGAGAGUAACUGUUCAUACGUUGACGGUAUUUAACCAGCAAGUCACGGCGAACUACGUGCCAGCAGCCGCGGUAAUACGUAGGUGGCAAGCGUUAUCCGGGUUUAUUGGGCGUAAAGAGAGUGCAGGCGGUUUUCUAAGGCUGAUGUGAAAGCCUUCGGCUUAACCGGAGAAGUGCAUCGGAAACUGGAUAACUUGAGUGCAGAAGAGGGUAGUGGAACUCCAUGUGUAGCGGUGGAAUGCGUAGAUAUAUGGAAGAACACCAGUGGCGAAGGCGGCUACCUGGUCUGCAACUGACGCUGAGACUCGAAAGCAUGGGUAGCGAACAGGAUUAGAUACCCGUGUAGUC
rnacentral:rRNA from 1 species